ACAAAGUGGAUGGAUGGGUAGGACACGUGAAGCUUUGAGAUGACAAUAGAGAAGAUUUUUGGGUGAGUUGGUGCACGAAAGUGUCACCACACUGCGGCACGAAUGCUUUU
rnacentral:ribozyme from 1 species